rnacentral:rRNA from 1 species
AUGAAGGCCAAGGCGGGCUCCCGCGCCGGCGACUCCAGGCUCGCGGUGAAGAAGAGCAAGGCCGAGAAGGACCCCAACAAGCCCAAGCGCCCCCCGAGCGCCUUCUUCGUCUUCAUGGACACCUUCAGGAAGGAGUACAAGGAGAAGCACCCCGACGUCAAGCAGGUCUCCGUGGUUGGCAAGGCCGGUGGUGAGAAGUGGAAGUCCCUGAGUGAUGCUGAGAAGGCUCCCUACGCUGCCAAGGCCGAGAAGCUCAAGGCCGAGUACACCAAGAAGAUCGACGCCUACAACAAUCCACAGGCAGGAGAGGCGUCCGGCGACUCUGACAAGUCCAAGUCCGAGGUGAACGACGACGACAGCGAGGGCGACGAGUGA